GAUGAACGCUGGCGGCGUGCUUAACACAUGCAAGUCGAACGGGAAUUAUUUUAUUGCAACUUCGGUCGAUUUAAUUUAAUUCUAGUGGCGGACGGGUGAGUAACGCGUGGGUAACCUGCCUUAUACAGGGGGAUAACAGUCAGAAAUGGCUGCUAAUACCGCAUAAGCGCACAGAGCUGCAUGGCUCAGUGUGAAAAACUCCGGUGGUAUAAGAUGGACCCGCGUUGGAUUAGCUGGUUGGUGGGGUAACGGCCCACCAAGGCGACGAUCCAUAGUCGGCCUGAGAGGGUGAACGGCCACAUUGGGACUGAGACACGGCCCAGACUCCUACGGGAGGCAGCAGUGGGGAAUAUUGCACAAUGGGGGAAACCCUGAUGCAGCGACGCCGCGUGAAGGAAGAAGUAUCUCGGUAUGUAAACUUCUAUCAGCAGGGAAGAUAGUGACGGUACCUGACUAAGAAGCCCCGGCUAACUACGUG
rnacentral:rRNA from 1 species